rnacentral:misc_RNA from 1 species
AAGAGUUGCAAAACUCCCUUAAACCAUCGCGAACGUUACCCCAUAACCGUUGCUUCGGCGGGCAGGCCAACCCUUUACGGGGCGUCUCCCCGGCUCCCCUCGCGGGGGCGCUCGCCGGAGCGGCACAACCAAACUCUUAUUAUUAUUGGCCUCUCUGAGUAAGAUUUUUUAAAUAAGUCA